rnacentral:rRNA from 1 species
CCUACGGGAGGCAGCAGUGGGGAAUCUUGCGCAAUGGGCGAAAGCCUGACGCAGCGACGCCGCGUGGGUGAUGAAGGCCUUCGGGUCGUAAAGCCCUGUCGGGUGGAACGAAUCCCCUGGUGGCGAAUACCUGCCAGGGUUGACGGUACCACCGAAGGAAGCUCCGGCUAACUACGUGCCAGCAGCCGCGGUAAUACGUAGGGAGCGAGCGUUGUUCGGAUUUACUGGGCGUAAAGCGCGCGUAGGCGGCCGGGUAAGUCGGGUGUGAAAGCCCUCGGCUUAACCGAGGAUCCGCGCUCGAAACUGCCAGGCUUGAGUCUAGGAGAGGAGAGCGGAAUUCCCAGUGUAGCGGUGAAAUGCGUAGAUAUUGGGAGGAACACCGUUGGCGAAGGCGGCUCUCUGGACUAGUACUGACGCUGAGGCGCGAAAGCUAGGGGAGCAAACGGGAUUAGAUCCCCCUGUAGU